rnacentral:rRNA from 1 species
GGAUUGCAGCCUGCAACUCGGCUGCAUGAAGUUGGAAUCGCUAGUAAUCGCGGAUCAGAAUGCCGCGGUGAAUACGUUCCCGGGUCUUGUACACACCGCCCGUCACACCAUGGGAGUCGGGAAUGCCCGAAGUCGGUGACCUAACCGAAAGGGAGGAGCCGCCGAAGGCAGGCCUGGUAACUGGGGUGAAGUCGUAACAAGGUAAC